GGUAGAUGUUCAUAUGAGUUGUUCUCUUCUACCAAAGCCUCCAACAUUCAAACUCAUACACAAAAAGUUAAAAUGAUCAAGAUUUCCUCAAAAGCAUCAUACCCAUCUUUAUUUGUAUCAUAGAUUCUCCCUCCUAGUAAUCACCCAUUCUCUAGGGUGGCUGAUCUCUUUGUAUAUUUCUGUUUCUUGAACAAAGGUCUCUUCUUGACUCGGUUCUUCUUCUAUCAAAAUAUCCCAUUUUCUUUGACUGGUAAAUCUUUGACGCCUUUGUUGUUUUUUUGUGUUAUUAUACUUUUGUGGGUUGCAAUUGAUUGAAUCUCAUUGUGUAGUUAUUUAUUGGAUUUUCACAUUGUAAUGUAAGUUGAGACUUCGGUUGUGACGAGAUUAUUAGAUGCUAGUACUAGAGUUCUUAAUGGAUUUUGUUGAUAGAUUUCUUCUUUUCUUGCAGUAUUCUUUGAUUGUUGAAAUACAAAUCCUCUAUGCACAUUACUGGUUGUUUUUUCUUAAGAUUUUGUAGUUGGAUUUCCUGUUUUGUACUAAUAAAGGCAAUUGUUUCGUUUGUUCACAUUGAAAUUUGAGUUUCUUGUGAUGGGUUCUAGAUUCUGACUGGGUUUGCUUAUGCUAUAUAUAUAUAUAUAUUGAUGCACUGUGGCUUCUCAGAGUACACUGAAGUAAAUUUCUCUUCGUUCUUGGAGGCACAAUCUUCUUCAAGGGAUCGAAUUCUCUAUCUGUUAUGAUGCCACUGUACUAAAAUUUAAACAUAUUGAAAUUUCAGCCAUCAUUCCCCUCUCGUGUUUUUGUUGCUUGACAUUUCUUAAAUUUUUAGCUGGUGCGAAACUGCCAGUGGGCUAUUUCUCUGUGUUGAGUAGCUCUAGUGUUCACAGAUUGGAACAAACUUUUGUGUUUGCUGGGUAAGAAGCUGCAUGUGGUGAAUGUAGAUAUUAAAAAAAUCAUUAAAGGAUUUGAUGGUGUAUAUUUUAGAAAUUGAGCAUCUUCAAUUUAUUGAUAAUUUUGGUGGGAAGCUAUAAUUCUGGAUUUGGUACUCUGAAUUGGUUUUCUCGGGGCAAUGGAGCACCUUCCUGUUGAAGUCAUUGGUAACAUAUUAUCUCGGCUGGGAGGUGCCCGAGAUGUGGUGAUAGCAUCUGCAACAUGUCAAAAGUGGCGAGAAGCUUGCCGCAAACACCUUCACACUCUUUCAUUCAAUUCCCAUGAUUGGCCAGUCUAUCACGAUCUAACAACUAGUCGGCUGGAAAUAUUGAUAACGCAAACUAUUUUUCAAACCACUGGGUUGCAAGGCCUGUCAAUUUUGAUGGAUGAUGUUGAUAAGUUCUCGGCUUCAACAGUUAUUGCUUGGCUCAUGUAUACGAGAGAAACUUUACGCCGGUUGUUCUAUAAUGUUCGGACUACUCCAAAUGUUAAUAUUCUUGAGAUUUGUGGGAGGCAGAAGCUGGAAAUGUUGGAACUGUCCCAUAACUCCAUAACAGGGGUUGAACCAAAUUUCCAGAGGUUCCCUUGUUUGAAAUCCCUUUCUUUGAGUUAUGUCAGCAUCUCAGCACUGGAUCUCAGUCUUUUGCUCUCUGCCUGCCCAAAGAUUGAGAUAUUGGAACUUAUCAAUCCAGAGAUUGCAAUGUCUGAUGCACAGGUGACUGUUGAACUCAGUAGUCCUACACUAAAGAGUGUUUAUGUGGAAGCAAUUAGUUUGGACAAGUUUAUUCUGGAGGCAGAUAGCAUCGAGCAUUUGCAUUUGAAGGAUUGUGCCCUUGAGCUAUUUGAACUCAUUGGAAAGAGAACUUUGAAGCAUUUCAAGAUCGAUGAUGUUAGUGUUAUACAUCUUGAUAUUGGUGAAACAAUUGAAAAUCUUGAGAUUGUAGAUGUCAGCAACUUCACUAUUAUCUGGCCAAAGUUCUACCAACUGAUCUCAAAAUCAUCAAAGUUGAGGAGGCUUCGCCUUUGGGAUGUGGUAUUUGAUGAUGAGGAUGGGAUUGUGGAUUUGGAAACUAUUGCUGUUUGUUUUCCACAACUUAGCCAUCUGUCAUUAAGUUAUGACUUAAGUGAUGGGGUGCUUCACUACAGUUUGCAAGGAUCUUCGAAUUUGGUGAAUGUGGUUGUCUUGGAGCUUGGAUGGACUGUAAUUAGUGAUCUCUUCUCGCAUUGGGUUGAGGGGCUCCUAAAACGUUGCCCACAUCUUAGGAAGUUGGUAAUUCAUGGAGUUGUUUCAGAGGCCAAAAGUCAAGAAGAAUGCCAGAUGUUGGCUAAUUUCACCUCAUCCAUAGUUCAGCUGAUGAGGAGAUAUAUGAAUGUAGAUGUGCAGUUUGUGUAUGAAUAGAAAUUUUGUGAUUAAUUUGGUCAAUGUUCAAUUUUUGGUUCAAAUAUCAGUUGUAUUAGCACAUAUUCAGGUAACAUUUACAGCAUUUAGAGCUUGAGUAUCAUUUUCCAUGCUCUGUAAAUGAUCUUUGAAGUCUUCUUUUGUCAUUGAAAUAUUACUUCAGAAAAAGGAACAUAUUCUCUGUUAACUUUAUUGUUAUUCUGCUCAAUUUCUGUGGACAAACUGCUUCUUUUUUC
rnacentral:misc_RNA from 1 species